rnacentral:lncRNA from 1 species
GUCUGUAUGUAUUAUAUAGUUGAUUGUGUAUGACUGGGAUGUCGCAAAUGCCUGACUAGGGUGCUAUGAGGGCAUGACUGGGGUGUUAGUUGAAGACAUUAUCAAUGAAGGUGUGAUCGAUACAAUAGAACAAUUAUUACAAAGAUAUGAUGUCUGUAUGUAUUAUAUAGUUGAUUGUGUAUGACUGGGAUGUCCCAAAUGCCUGACUAGGGUGCUAUGAGGGCAUGACUGGGGUGUUAGAUGAAGACAUUAUAAAUGAAGGUGUGAUCGAUACAAUAGAACAAUUAUUACAAAGAUA